CAGGAGACGCCCGAGACGAAACGGGAGGGAGAGAGAAACAGAACACACUCUUCUUCUUCGAUGCCGUUAACACAUUCCCCGCCGCAGACCAAGCUGCGGAAGAGGAAAGGGGGAAGAUAAAGAGGGAUCCCAGGGUUGGGAAAACGCGCGGAGGCUCGCGUUUUCGCGGUGGCCGGCGGCAAAGCCUAUGGACUUAGGCUUGAGCAAGACGGAGUCUACCUCACGGCGACGGCGACCGGGCUACCGAAGCUGCCUCGCGCACACCCUCGAUGUGCUCCAUUUCCUCGAGCACCUUCACUCAUCCUCUGGGGUGGACCCAUUGAUGUCAGAGCUCAGCUCCUGUGGACUGAUGGAUCUUACAAGGGAUCCAAUUUGAAGUGAAGAGGAUCCUACCGUCUAGAUAAAGGAAUAUUAGGACAUUUGCGAGGUUGACAGAAACACUGUCAGGACCAAGAUGACAGUUUCCUGAAGAAGAGCUUUUUUAUUCCAACAAGGCUGAAGGUUAGUUUCUUUCCAGAAAAAUAAAAUUAUCAAAAUUUAAUUCAGGUUUCUGAUAUGAUUAGCAUAUUUCAUUUGUGGAAGACAUUGCCUGUACUUCAUCUGCAAUAGCCGACUAGAUUACUGGUGGAAUCUCAUUUUCAUAGUUCAUCACUGUUGGAACUUCAUUGUCAUCCGAUGCAUAAUAUCUUAUGCCCUACUAGCUGAUCCAGCAACCAAUCCCUGAAAUGAAAUUCGAUGUCCACGAUUGCACUGGCUUGGAGUAGACAUACAACUCAGGGUUUGGUGUCAAGUCUCCCAUCUACCAGAUCAACUCGUAUUAUUGAUCAUAAAUGCCUUGUAUGUAGCCUUUCGAGGAUUACAGCUAGAUCUCGUGGUGACCAUAUUAUUUUAGGUGAAGGUCCUUGUUUUGACGAGAAAAGAAAAAAAGGUAUUGUGGUUGGUGUGUCAUAGUCUGAGAGCUGAUUCAGAUGAAGCCCUCCUAGCAUAUGGCACUGAGAAGUGCAGAUUUCUAUAGAAGAAGGUGAUCUGGAUCUACUUGUCCAACCAGUCAUGUUUCUUUGCCUGCAUCCCCUGACCAGUUAUCAUGCCUUUGUACUCAUCUGCUUUGCUCUUUCUAAACCACUGCAACUUUGAUUUUUUUUUCUUUUAGGCAUAAGACAUCUCUCUUUUCUUUUAUUCUUUGUUCUUGCUCCUAACAAUUAUAAUAAUAAUAAUUAUUAUUAUUAUUA